UCCGCGGUCCCCCGAAACCCCAGCUGCUCCUCUUCAGGCAACGCAUCGAGGACGACGCGGCUCUGCCGGAACGGCACCGGCUGGGCCUCGCCGGACGACUAACCGUCUGCGGCCGUCUUCUUCUCGUCCGCGGAAUCAAGCGCCGCCCCUCCUAGCCGUCCCAGGCCACCGGACACAUCGACUUCUCAUCGGGCAACAAGGUAGAGGAGGACGGCCACAGGGAGGAUGGUUGAAAACAGGUUGGUCAUGAGGAGCUGCUCACGUCGCCGUCCGGAGUGGGGAGCCGGGAGUGGGCGCACAAGACGAGUAGGCCAUCCAGUCCAGUCUCGACCUCGUUGUCCAGCCCCGUGAAAGAGCUCUGUCACGGGCAAGGGCGAGGCUUCCAGCCUCGACGUUGUUGUUUCGAUCCUGGCCGGCCAAGCGCGGGCACUUCUCCCGAUUCAGAAUAAACUCUAGAUGGGGAUCGAUGUGGUAAUCUUGAUCUUCAGCCUGCUGCCAGCCCUAACCUACGGUGACACGGAAAUGGAAGCAAGUAGGCGUCCACCUAGGCGCUUCAGUCCAUGAACGCCCAGCUGCAAAGCCACCGGCUCCCAUCGGCUUCUCGCUCUAGGGCUCGAGGCCUGCAAGGACUUACUGCCGACAACACGGGUCGCUGACGCGGACCAAGAGUCGCCUUCCAGGCCCUCCACCAGCACGUCGCAGCAACCCCCUCAAUUCCGGUUAUGCUCCACCGAGAGCAAGACCACCACAGUACAAGAAGAUAUACGGGGAUAAAUCUUUGCCAGUGGCAGCGGUGGCCUCCUCUUGGUCUUAAUGUUGUAGCAUUUAUCCUCUGUCCAAGUAAGAAGAACAGAUCAAGCGCCACCAUGGUGCUGUCAUUGUGGAGCGCCGAGUACGCAAGCCCUGCCGUGGCACCGUACGAGCCGAGCUUCUUCAACCAGUGGUAGUCGCUAGAGCAGUACAAGGAGGAGCGGAUUAACAUGGCAUUCAUGAAGGGGAGAAAUGGAUGUGGCCCUGAUGCAGUAGCGGUAGUGGAGUAUUAAAGAUGGAGAUGGCCAGGAGGUAGCCAUGGUUUCGACUACUUCAACUUUCCUUGCUGCCAUGUGAUGGAGGCGAGUUCACUGUGUCGCAGCCAUGGCAGCGUCCGCUUUCUUCUAGGACUCCAUGCGCUAGCUUAUUGUGUUCCACGGCCUCCUCACUGGUAGACUUGUAUGCGAGAAGGUCAAUCCGGGCAGUGCAGCAGGCGUUCCGGAGCGAGAUGAUGGUGACGAGGGUGCCCAAACGUUUGGACAUGAGCUGGAUGAGAAGCUUCCCAUGAUCAAGUGCUGUCCCACAGCGGUGUUGUCCAGUAGCACAAGUGCUGUCCUCGGCGGCGCUUAUGAGAAGUCCAAGAAGAAGGAGCAAUCAAGUCUCUCAUCUGGAGGUAUAUCUUUCAAAGGCUUCCCUUGAGGAAAGAGGACCGGUAAGGAUGACAUCCUCAAUGACCUUACCUCAUGGCGGCCCUUUUGACAAAGAGGUUAUGGCGGCUCUUCAGGAUGGUGCACUGGAUACUGAUAGUCUGAUGCACGUUGUGAACCACUUGGAAAGAUAUACAUACACAUCGACUGGACGGCCAGAGCAGCAGCUAGACAUGUAUUGAGGACUUGGGAGCAUUUGGUCCCGCUUACAGGUAGACAAGGAACAACAUAUUUCCUUUCAUGCAGAUUAACGUGACAUGUUGUUGUGGGUGAGUGGAGUUCCUGGAUAGAUGGAGUAAAAUUGGUCAAGUAGAAUGAAUAAAUUGGCGAGGCGUAGUGUACAUUUUUCUACUCGACAUAUACUUUCUUUAGGGGGAGCUGAUUUAUAGUUUGCUUCAAAUUGCCUACCGUGCUGAGCUACCCUGCCAACUUGGCCUAGGACUAAGCCAACCCGAAGGUGGGUCCCAUCAUAAAGAAGAUGAUGUCCCAGUGAACGUCAUGAGAAGUAGAUGAACUCUCAGGUGAAGAGUGUCGUCUUUUUUGUGGAUGGGGAUUGGUGAAGAGUGUCGUGUCUUUGUCAUGAGGAUCUUACUUAUGCUGGCUUUCACAUUGCUUGUGUGUUGGAUGUGGAACACCUUGGGCUUAGUGGGCUGGAUGUGUUAGAAAGAUACUUCUUUCUAAUUGCUUGUUCACUGUGUUAUUACUUUGUGUUCCUGCUCCCUAUAGUUUAUCCGAAUAAUGAGCGUCAUGUUAUCCAAAUUAGUUGUGAAGUCAGUUGACAAUGAAACCAGAGUAGGUUCAAAUUGUGUAUGCAGUAUUGCAAAAGUACAUGCUUAGGUGUCUUCUGUCAGUGCUUAUUUUCUUGAUGUCGUGUGCAUGCUUUGAAUUUGAUACUGUCCUAUUUGAACUAUUAGUUUGUUUACGGAUGACAAGUGUUAGAUGUAAUUAUGCAACUUGCGGAAGUUUUUUAUACUUCUUGUAGACAUAAUGGUGUACGGCAAGAACUAGUUCUCUGUGUUAAACUAAUUUUGCAAAUAGUUACAUCUAUGAUCCCUUAAAAAAAUAUGCCAGGUAGUAUGGAAUGAUACAUCGACUUUGAGCAUUUCUUGUGUGCCAUCUCUACAUUUUAUGAAGAAAAUACCAGGUACAUGUUCUGGGUUCAUGUCUGAAUAGUACAAAUCUAGAAGAGACUGUCUCUGAAUGUGAGCAGCAAAUAAAUAAUUUAAGAUGGUGUCUGAAUGUGAGAACACAUGGGUCUGGCACACAUAAGUGAGCCUGACAGACUGGUACAAUCGGCUAGAUACUUGAUUUUGCUCUUCAUAGUGCAUCUAGUAAACUUUGAAGGAAUAUGUUGCCUAUUUGCUCCUUGAUUUCCGCCUGAAUUGUAAAUUGUUUUCUAGAUUUAGUAAUCCUACUUUAGUUGUGUUUUUGUAUUUCGGCGGAGAAAUGGAGGUGGCCAGCAGAGGUGGCUCUGGUCCCUGGAUCCAGGCAGCAAGUAGCCUGUGGGUUUGGGUACUUUUCUGGUUGCCUAUUGUGUUGUCUGGGAUCAAUCGUGUGGGAGUGCAAUGAAUGCUUCUUUGCACUAAUACCAGUUAUGGUGAGAUACAUAGCGAGCAACCAGCACUAUUUCGGUUGAGCUCAUCAUGCUUGGUGGUCUAGAUUAUAGUUUUACUAUAAUGAGGUGAGUUGUGAAUUCAGGUAUAGCAUUUACAGCAUUUUGCAUUAUUGUGCCUUGGAAACUUCUCAUUUUCCAUUAUAAUAUCCCAAUGAUAGGCUCAUUGAAAUUCCAAACUUUGAGAUGGUCUGCUUGUCUUUUAGUUGAGAUAUGAAGCUAUCUUCAUCUGCAUUCCAGAGUGCCAGCCUGCUACAUAGAACCUUACUACAUACAUACUGGGUGCAUAUUAACCUAAGAGCCAAAACACCAUGUCCUAAAUCAUCAUGCUAUUUGCUAUUGUUGUUUUUCCUUUUUGUAAUGGACAGAAAACCAGUGAGUAAUGCUCUGGUUGUGUUGUGUGGGUUGUUUAGUCAAAACCCUCAUUGAAAUCUAUUUAUUCUUGCUAGAUGUGCUCUAGAACUGACCAAGAUAGGUUCUUGUGCAAGGAUGACGACGAGGACUAGAUGGCAGCCAGGGUAGCAGCUGUGACCUGUAGCAGCUGCAGCUUGGUGCAUCUUACUCGGAUGGCAGCUUGAAGACUCGUGGGACAAUGGACAUCUUCAUAUAUACGGCUUGGUCGUUGAACAAUCUCUAAGCAGCUGCAGCUUUCUUUCUAGCUUAUUUAUCUCUGCGAUAUUUAUGGUUGCAACCGAGCUUUGAGAUUUGAGAGCGCAUGAUUGUGUUGUACGUCCCAACUUUCAUUGAUGUUUGUUGUUUGGUAUUGCACUAUUUUUGUUUAAUUAUUCCUUUGGUUGA